GGCUUGUUAGCUUAGUUGGUAGAGUGCUGCACUGGUAUUGCAGAGGUCAUAGGUUCAAAUCCUGUACAGGCCU